rnacentral:rRNA from 1 species
UAAGCAUAUCAAUAAGCGGAGGAAAAGAAACCAACAGGGAUUGCCCCAGUAACGGCGAGUGAAGCGGCAACAGCUCAAAUUUGAAAUCUGGCCCCCCCCCGCGGGGGGCCCGAGUUGUACUUUGGAGAGGAUGCUUUGGGCGCAGCGCCGGCCGAGUGCCCUGGAACGGGCCGCCGGAGAGGGUGAGAGCCCCGUACGGCCGGACGCCUAGCCCGUGCAAAGCUCCUUCGACGAGUCGAGUAGUUUGGGAAUGCUGCUCAAAAUGGGAGGUAAAUUUCUUCUAAAGCUAAAUACCGGCCAGAGACCGAUAGCGCACAAGUAGAGUGAUCGAAAGAUGAAAAGCACUUUGAAAAGAGGGUUAAACAGCACGUGAAAUUGUUGAAAGGGAAGCGCCUGGGGCCAGACGUGCGCCCCGCGGACCACCCGGCGCCUCGCGCGCCGGGGCACGCCGCGGGUGCGCAGGCCAGCAUCGGCUCCCGCCAGGGGGACAAGGGCCGCCGGGAACGUCGCUCCUCCGGGAGCGUUAUAGCCCGCGGCGCCAUGCCCCUGGGGGGGCCGAGGACCGCGCUCCCCGCGAGCAAGGAUGCUGGCGUAAUGGCCCCCAGCGACCCGUCUUGAAACACGGACCAAGGAGUCAAGCAUUGGGGCGAGUGUCUGGGUGCCAAACCCGCACGCGAAAUGAAAGUGAACGCAGGUGGGAGCCCCCGCCCCCCCCGGGGGGCGGGGGCGCACCACCGACCGAUCCUGAAGUCUUCGGAUGGAUUUGAGUAGGAGCCUUGCCGCUUGGACCCGAAAGAUGGUGAACUAUGCCUGUAUAGGGUGAAGCCAGAGGAAACUCUGGUGGAGGCUCGCAGCGGUUCUGACGUGCAAAUCGAUCGUCAAAUAUGGGCAUGGGGGCGAAAGACUAAUCGAACCAUCUAGUAGCUGGUAC